CGCUCCGUAGUCGGAUUUCGGGGCGGGCCGACCGGUCUGCCGAUGGGUAUGCACUGGUCGGCGCGUCCUUCCACCCGGAGACCGCGCCUACUCUUAACUGAGCGGGCGCGGGAGACGGGUCUUUUACUUUGAAAAAAUCAGAGUGUUUCAAGCAGGCAGUCGCUCUUGCAUGGAUUAGCAUGGGAUAAUGAAAUAGGACUCUGGUGCUAUUUUGUUGGUUUCGAACACCGGAGUAAUGAUUAACAGGGACAGUCGGGGGCACUCGUAUUCCGCCGAGAGAGGUGAAAUUCUCAGACCAGCGGAAGACGAACCACUGCGAAAGCAUUUGCCAGGGAUGUUUUCAUUGAUCAAGAACGAAAGUUAGGGGAUCGAAGACGAUCAGAUACCGUCGUACUCUUAACCAUAAACCAUGCCGACUUGGGAUUGGAGGAUGUUCCAUUUGUGACUCCUUCAGCACCUUUCGGGAAACUAAAGUCUUUGGGUUCCGGGGCGAGUAUGGUCGCAAGGCUGAAACUUAAAGGAUUGACGGAAGGGCACCACCAGGAGUGGAGCCUGCGGCUUAAUUUGACUCAUCACGGGGAAACUUACCAAGUCCCGACUUGUGAAGGAUCUGACAGAUUGAGAGCUCUUUCCUUGAUUCCAUGGGUGGUGGUUGCAUGGACGUCUCAGUUGUUGGAGCGAUGUGUCUGGUCAAUUCCGUUUAAUAACGAGAGCGCAGUCUGCUGAAUACCGACGCGCACCCCCCGUU
rnacentral:rRNA from 1 species